UAGUCCACGCCCUAAACUAUGUUAACUCGUUAUUGGCGAUAUUACUGUCAGUAACCUAGCGAAAGCGUUAAGUUAACCACCUGGGGAGUACGUUCGCAAGAAUGAAACUCUAAGGAAUUGACGGGGGUCCGCACAAGCGGUGGAGCAUGUGGCUUAAUUCGAUGAUACGCGAGGAACCUUACCUAGCCUAGAAUGUUUUUUGACCUACCCAGAAACGGGUCUUUCCUUCGGGACAAAUUGCAAGGUGCUGCAUGGUUGUCGUCAGCUCGUGUCGUGAGAUGUUGGGUUAAGUCCCGCAACGAGCGCAACCCUCAUCCUUAGUUGCCAGCAUUUAGUUGGGCACUCUAAGGAAACUGCCGGUGAUAAGCCGGAGGAAGGUGGGGAUGACGUCAAGUCCUCAUGGCCCUUACAAGCUGGGCUACACACGUGCUACAAUGGCGAUGACAGUGAACAGCUAACCCGCGAGGGCAAGCUAAUCUCUAAAAGUCGUCUCAGUUCGGAUUGUUCUCUGCAA
rnacentral:rRNA from 1 species